CUCCUGUAUCACGUGGAAGAGAUAGUUUAUGGAGGUCCUCACCCUCCGAAGGGAGCCACUGCCCUCUCCGUAGAGAAUGUUUAUUUGCCCCAUAGAGAUGAUGGUAUCUCUUAAAAGAAAGAGUAUUCAAGCAGAGAUUACCCAAGUUCUCGUGAUACUAGAGAUUAUGCACCACCACCACGAGAUUAUACUUACCGUGAUUAUGGUCAUUCCAGUUCACGUGAUGACUAUCCAUCAAGAGGCUAUAGCGAUAGAGAUGGAUAUGGUCGUGAUCGUGACUAUUCAGAUCAUCCAAGUGGAGGUUCCUACAGAGAUUCAUAUGAGAGUUAUGGUAACUCACGUAGUGCUCCACCUACACGAGGGCCCCCGCCAUCUUAUGGUGGAAGCAGUCGCUAUGAUGAUUACAGCAGCUCACGUGACGGAU